CCUACGGGUGGCAGCAGUGGGGGAUAUUGCACAAUGGGGGGAACCCUGAUGCAGCGACGCCGCGUGGGUGAAGGAGCGUUUCGGCGCGUAAAGCCCUAUCGGCAGGGAAGAAGAUGACGGUACCUGACCAAGAAGCCCCGGCUAACGACGUGCCAGCAGCCGCGGUAAUACGUAGGGGGCAAGCGUUAUCCGGAUUUACUGGGUGUAAAGGGGGCGCAGACGGCAAUGCAAGCCAGGAGUGAAAGCCCGGGUCGCAACCCCGGGACUGCACUUGGAACUGGAUGGCUGGAGUACAGGAGGGGAAGGAGGAAUUCCUAGUGUAGCGGUGAAAUGCGUAGAUAUUAGGAGGAACACCAGUGGCGAAGGCGGCUCACUGGACUGUAACUGACGUUGAGGCUCGAAAGCGUGGGGAGCAAACAGGAUUAGAUACCCUAGUAGUG
rnacentral:rRNA from 1 species